GUGGGGAAUAUUGGGCAAUGGGGGAAACCCUGACCCAGCGACGCCGCGUGAGGGAUGAAGGUUUUCGGAUCGUAAACCUCUGUCAGAAGGGAAGAAACUACAUUGUGCUAAUCAGCAGUGUACUGACGGUACCUUCAAAGGAAGCACCGGCUAACUCCGUGCCAGCAGCCGCGGUAAUACGGAGGGUGCAAGCGUUAAUCGGAAUUACUGGGCGUAAAGCGCACGUAGGCUGUAGUGUAAGUCAGGGGUGAAAUCCCACGGCUCAACCGUGGAACUGCCUUUGAUACUGCACAACUUGAAUCCGGGAGAGGGUGGCGGAAUUCCAGGUGUAGGAGUGAAAUCCGUAGAUAUCUGGAGGAACAUCAGUGGCGAAGGCGGCCACCUGGACCGGUAUUGACGCUGAGGUGCGAAAGCGUGGGAAGCAAACAGGAUUAGAAACCCCAGUAGUCC
rnacentral:rRNA from 1 species